rnacentral:rRNA from 1 species
UGGGGAAUAUUGCACAAUGGGCGCAAGCCUGGUGCAGCCGUGCCGCGUGUAUGAAGAAGGCCUUCGGGUUGUAAAGUACUUUCAGCGGGGAGGAAGGGAGUAAAGUUAAUACCUUUGCUCAUUGACGUUACCCGCAGAAGAAGCACCGGCUAACUCCGUGCCAGCAGCCGCGGUAAUACGGAGGGUGCAAGCGUUAAUCGGAAUUACUGGGCGUAAAGCGCACGCAGGCGGUUUGUUAAGUCAGAUGUGAAAUCCCCGGGCUCAACCUGGGAACUGCAUCUGACACUGGCAAGCUUGAGUCUCGUAGAGGGGGGUAGAAUUCCAGGUGUAGCGGUGAAAUGCGUAGAGAUCUGGAGGAAUACCGGUGGCGAAGGCGGCCCCCUGGACGAAGACUGACGCUCAGGUGCGAAAGCGUGGGGAGCAAACAG